UAUGGUGCUACAAUUGUGUCUGUGGUAACCCCUGAUAAACACGGAAAACUAGCUGAUAUUGUUCUUGGUUAUGAUUCUCUUGAUUCUUAUAAGAAUGACACAACUUAUUUCGGGGCAGUGAUUGGACGGGUGGCCAAUAGGAUUGGAGGUGCUAAAUUCACUUUGAAUGACAAAACCUACCACUUACCCGCAAAUGAUCACGGAAACACACUUCACGGUGGCACAAGAGGUUUGAGUGACGUUAUAUGGACAGUGGAAUCUCACAAAAAACACAGCCAUGUAACAUUUACCUACGACAGUCCUGAAAACGAUCAAGGCUUUCCUG
rnacentral:sRNA from 1 species